GUCUAACUUUGUGAUGAAAGAAAAUGUGCGAGGGAUAAAAUUGGAAAAUAGAAAAAGAAAACAAAGUUUGUAUAAAUCUGAAGAUAGAGAGAUUGUGGAGUAGAUUAGGGUUUUUGCAGCCACACUCCUUUUACAGAAUGAGAUAACAUUUCUCACUGCAGAUUUCCCCAAAAUAAUAAUAAUAAUAAUAAUAAUAAUCACAAUUCCACGCAACCUUCGCUUCUUUCAUAUACCCUCUUCUCUCUUUCUCUCACUCUCAAGAGGCAGUGACGAUCGUUUUGGAGUGUGGAUCUAGAUGGAUGGUUUACCGGCGCGACUAUGCUUGCCGGUGGCGAGGCAUUCGGUGAAAUUGACUAUUUUGUCCUUUUUACCGAUUAAUUGCAGCCAUCCAUGGCGGCGCCUAUCUCCGGUGGCCGAUCUCAUCUUUGUACCAAAACUGAGCCUCAAAUUUCCUUUGACUAUGAAGUAGAAGUUGCAUGAGUGCUUGACAUGGGAAUUGCGAUUUUGGGAAACUACUGGGAGGUUGAAGAUUCAAGUUGUCAUGCUGCCAGCAAUUUUAACAAGGAUAUGGCUAUUAUGAAUUUGCUCGGUUGCGUGGAUUGUAGUCUAAGUUCUAUUUUUAAUGUAUCCAUUGUUGUCAAGAUAAGAUUAUGCUGUUGAGUGUUGAAUUGUUUAUCAACAAUGGUUUUGUUUUUAUCAUGUACAUUGUACUACUAGACAUAACUGUCUCUAUUGUACCAAAAAUAUAUGGAGUAAUAUAUUUUCCUUUUUGGUUCA